rnacentral:rRNA from 1 species
AGCAGCCGCGGUAAUUCCAGCUCCAAUAGCGUAUAUUAAAGUUGUUGCAGUUAAAAAGCUCGUAGUUGAAUUUCGGGAUUAGUACGUCGGUCGUGCCUUAGGUACGUACUGGUGUUACUGGUUCCUACCUUCUGACGAACCAUCAUGUCAUUAAUUUGGUGUGGUGGGGAAUCAGGACUGUUACUUUGAAAAAAUUAGAGUGUUUAAAGCAGGCUCGCGCUUGAAUACAUUAGCAUGGAAUAAUUAAAUAGGACGUUGAUCCUAUUUUGUUGGUUUCUAGGAUUGACGUAAUGAUUAAUAGGGAUAGUUGGGGGCAUUAGUAUUCAAUUGUCAGAGGUGAAAUUCUUGGAUUUAUUGAAGACUAACUACUGCGAAAGCAUUUGCCAAGGAUGUUUUCAUUAAUCAAGAACGAAAGUUAGGGGAUCGAAGACGAUCAGAUACCGUCGUAGUCUUAACCAUAAACUAUGCCGACUAGGGAUCGGAUGAUGUUAUUUUUAAUGACUCA